ACCCCCUGCCAAUAGGCAAGGAGACACCUUGUUGGUGGUGAUGUUCUUGUGUCAGCCAGGGGCAGAGCACAUGACAGUCCCUUGUUCAUCUUAGCUUGAUCCCUGGCUUGAUGGCAAAAAGCUGUUUUAUGCCUAAGACGCAUGA